GGAGAGGUGGCCGAGCCGGCUGAAGGCAACCGCCUGCUAAGCGGUUGUACGGGUAAAACCGUACCGAGAGUUCGAAUCUCUCCCUCUCCGCCA
rnacentral:tRNA from 1 species